rnacentral:rRNA from 1 species
UACGAAGGGGGCUAGCGUUGCUCGGAAUCACUGGGCGUAAAGGGUGCGUAGGCGGGUUUUUAAGUCAGGGGUGAAAUCCUGGAGCUCAACUCCAGAACUGCCUUUGAUACUGAAGAGCUUGAGUUCGGGAGAGGUGAGUGGAACUGCGAGUGUAGAGGUGAAAUUCGUAGAUAUUCGCAAGAACACCAGUGGCGAAGGCGGCUCACUGGCCCGAUACUGACGCUGAGGCACGAAAGCGUGGGGAGCAAACAGG